rnacentral:tRNA from 1 species
GCUUUGGUGGUGAAAUGGUAGACACACUCAAAAUCUCAUGCUAAAGAGCGUAGAGGUUCGAGUCCUCUUCAAGGCA